rnacentral:rRNA from 1 species
UGUGCCUACGGGGCGCAGCAGUGGGGAAUCUUGCGCAAUGGGAGGAAGCCUGGCGCAGCGACGCCGCGUGCGGGACGAAGGCCUUCGGGUCGUAAACCGCUUUCAGCAGGGACGAGGCCCUCACGGUGACGGUACCUGCAGAAGAAGCCCCGGCUAACUACGUGCCAGCAGCCGCGGUAAUACGUAGGGGGCGAGCGUUAUCCGGAUUCAUUGGGCGUAAAGCGCGCGUAGGCGGCCUGUUAGGUCGGGGGUCAAAUACAGGGGCUCAACCCCGGUCCGCCCCCGAUGC